rnacentral:lncRNA from 1 species
CAUAAAAGCCAACACAUAACACAGGAAACUGGGAGAUUUGGGGUUUCAUUUUAAGAAAGAUGUGAUCAUGUCUGCACUCUAAGGAGAAGUAACCAUGAGAAAGAGAAAGCAUAUACACACCAAAGCAGCAGGAGGAAAUUUGGGGAGAAGAGAAUAGAGGGUGAGAGGUAAAAAGGAGGUGAAGUUCUUGGGAUCAGAAAAGACGCUCUCACGGCUUCAGCUCACAGACAUUUACUGAGUGUUGGCCAUGCCCCGGGCCCUGUCACCAACCCUAAAGAAAUGGGAUCAAGAAGACAGUCACAAUCCAUGUCCUCACAGAGCCUGGAAGAUCAGGAGCGAGCCAGACAUGAGUAAGUGAAUAUAAUAUCAUAAAUAGAGGUACCACCUUAGAAAGAGGUAGGGACGUGUCCUCCUCUAAGAUGAGGAAGAAAAAGAGGGAAGAGCAAGAUGUUAGGAAAUGUUUUAUCAUUUUGAAAACUAAAACAUAACAAUAUCUGCUAUGAAUGAAGGAAACCAAUUUAUAACGUGCCAAAGGAAGAGGACAAAUUUUAAGCUACAACUCCAAGGACAAAAUAUGAAUCAGUACAAGCAUAAAUGGACCAGUUGAAACAGGGGAGCAUAACGGUAUGAUUCCAGGAUCUCUGUGAAAUUACCUGGGAUGCUUCUUAAAGGUGUUUCCCGUGCAGGCCCUAUAGGGAGACCAACUAAAUCAGAGUACAUGUGCUGGGCCAAGGAACUACGUUUUCUUCUAUCAAGUUAUUUAGAGUUCCCGUCGUGGCUCAGUGGUUAACAAAUCCAACUAGGAACCAUGAGGUUGUGGGUUCGAUCCCUGUUCUCGUUCAGUGGGUUAAGGAUCUGGCGUUGCCAUGAGCUAUAGUGUAGGUCACAGACGUGGCUCGGAUCCCACGUUGCUGUGGCUCUGGCGUAGGCCGGUGGCUACAGCCCUGAUUAGACCCCUAGCCUGGGAACCUCCAUAUGCCGCAGGUACAGUCCUAAAAUGACAAAAGACAAAAAAAAAGAAAGAAAGAAAAAGUUGGCAAGAAAUAUUCUCUCAGAAACUAUUUUCAAAAUAACAUUGUUACAGAAAGUAAAUGGUCUGAUACACAGGUGUAUAUAAGAUAUAGAUAUAUAGAUUUAUUCCUAUUAAAAUAUGUUUCAAAACUUUUAUAAAUCUGUUAAUGUUGAAAGAGGAUAAUUUCAAGAUUUGAUAAAAUUAUUAAAUAAAAUUUGUAAAAAAAUUGAUUCAUUAAAUUGUUGACAAAAAUAUUUUCUUUUUUUUAUUGUUGCACUCUAAAUUUUAACCACAGUAAAAAUUUCUCUGGAAUGUGCUAUAUAUUCAAGGUUUAUCAUCACCAUCCAAUCUAGAAUUCUUAAAAAUAACACCCGCAAAAGAAAUGUUCUUUACCAUUUGCCAGUAAGACAUAGGGCAAAAAAAAGUAUUUCUGCGCAGCAGAAUAAUAAAGAAAACCAUAUUCUAAUGUUUAAUUUAAAGUUAUAUCUUUUAUUUUGAAUAAGCACCUUUGCAAUAUUAUUUAAUCUGUAAAGGACUAUAUUUUAAAUGAUAGAUUUUUCAAUAUCCUAAAUGCAUACUGGACUCUGGUCUCCCUAGGCACAAUUUAUGUUGGUUUUUUAAACUACUUAUGGCUAAUCCAAAGCUGAGACACUUAAGCAUCCAAAAUAAAAAUUUUAAUCCUCAAGUUUCUCAAGAGAUAGAUGACAGCCACGGAGAAUUUUUUUCCUCUCAAGCUGACUUUUUAUAGAUCAGCACUUCAUAAAUAAAAGAAAUCUUAUAUAGCAGAUUUCAUCAUUUUUAUGUGAUAAUUUCAGUCAAACGAGUGAUUGUUUCGCAUUCAAUGUGUCUCCUUGUCAAUUCAUGCAGCAGACAUGAACCAUAAAGGCCGUAGAUGUUGUAAAAUUAACAGUAAGAGUUUAUACUUAGUGUUCCUUGCUCUGUGUCAGGCAUUGUCCUAAUUAAUCCUUGAUUCUGUACACAGCAGCAGGAAGGAUUCUACGACCACCCCAGUGGGAUCACGCCUCUGCUCGGUUCAGACCCUCCAGUCAGUUCCCAACUCACUCAGCCUGACAGCCAACGUCCUCUCUCCAGCCUAUAAGGCCCUGCACAAUUUGUACACAGAUGCUGUCCCUUACCUAAUUUCCUACUCUGCUCUCUCAGGGCACGAUGGCCUUCUUCCCAUUCUUCCAACAUGCCGGUCACAAUCUGCCUUAGGGUCUUCUCAGCGGCUGUCCCCUUUGCCUGGAAACCCUCGUACCCAGAUAUCUGCAGGGGUUCCCCUCCACUUCCUUCGCCUUCUCAGGAACACCUUCCCUGUUGGCCUUUUCUAAAUUCCCAUAACUCCCCUCAACUCUUCCUAUCACCCUGCCUGCUUCAUUCUUCUCUAGCAUUUUUUGCUAGCAUCCUUUACAUUGGUCUUAUACAUGUUUCAUUUUCUUUUAUUUUCUGUCUCCCACUAAAAUAGAAGUUCCACGAGGGCAGAGAUUUUGCAUGUUUUGUUCACUGCCGUGGCCCCAAGUGCCUCGAAAACUAGAUGGCGUAUAGUAAGUGCUCAAUAAAUGUUUAUUGAAUUAAUGAAAGAAAGAAUUAAAGCAUCUCACUUAUUUCUGAAGCAAAUAGAGGACACCCAGCUUGUGUAAUGGUAGAGAAAUUUAGGGUGUGGAAGCAUUUGAAAUUCCUGCCAUGCGACAGUGGGUAAAGAAUCCGAUUACAGCAGCUUGGGUUGCUGCAGAGGUGUGGGUUAGAUAUCUGGCCUGGUGCACUGAGUUAACAGAUCCAGCAUUUCUGCAGCUGUGGCAUAGAUCACAGCUGCGGCUUGGACUCAGUCCCUGGCCUGGGAUCUUCCUUGUGCCACAGGUAUAACCAUAAAAAGAAAAUAAUAAAUAAAGUAUGGAAGCAUCAAACAAUAAUAGCAGAGAUUUGACAGAAGUCCCCUAUUAAAGAAGUCCCCUGCUAAAGUAAACCUUUUGGUAAGUUCUCCUUACCAAAGUGAGAACGAGGGGGAAAAGCAGUCUCUUUUCUGUCCCUCUGUUCAUGGCCCAUUUUUGGUGCUUAACAAAUACGAGUUUCAUACUUUUUGGUCCAAUACUCUAAAUCUUCUGGCUUUAUGACGGAGUUGCAUUUCUGCUCUUCACUAAUCUGUAACAUUUUAGUAUCAAAUCAAUCUCAAUUUGAUUUGUAUUUUCUGGUUUGAGCAAAUCUAGAUGGGAAUAUUUUAUCAACAUAAAAAGUAUGAAGUUGGAAAGCACAAGACACUGUAAUCGUGAGCAUAAAUCAGCACAAAGAGCAGCCUCAUUCUUGUGGCAUCUAAGUCAUGGCAGUGGCCCAGGAUCACAAAACUCUUCUGUAAGAAGCUGAUGAAUGUAGAAUGCUGGCAGUGGCAACUCACCCUCUGUGAGGGGUGGAGGAGCAUUUCUUAGGUCUUGUCAUCCACUGUCAAACCCCACCUGCCCCCACUUUGUUCUGCCGUGACUUUCCAUGUGCCCGUGCUGGCUCCACUCACCUUCACAGCCACCUGUUUAGGCUCAGCUGUGUUCUAUGGCUAGUGAUGGCCACAACUGGAGAAUUCCAGUCACUUGCCUGCCAAUGAUGGUGGAAAGUUUGGGGCUAUCAAGAAGUGGACUCUUAAUAAGUACACAUUAAAUACUCUUUAAAGAGUGUCCAGGCUGGUGUGCUGCCAGUGUUGUCACCAUGCUAGUUGAGCAUGGCACAGUGGAAAGUUCAUGGGCUUUGGGAUGGGACAGACCUGGGUUCAAAUUCCAACUAUUUUUAAAAUAGUUCCUAUUUACUAAGAACUUACUGCAUACCAGGCACUAAACUAAGCACUUUGCAUCUAUAAAUCAUCUGAUA